UUCGCUCGCUCGCUUCGGCGCCGUUUUCCCUCUUGCCCGUAACUCGGGGGGCUCCCUCUUUGCCAGCGGGGAAAAUGGCGACGGAGGGAACGAGAGGGGAGCCCGGUUCCAACGGUCGUGAGGAACCCACGGCAGCGAAAAGAGAAUUCGAUGUGGACAGUCUCAGCAAAUCAGAAUUGAGGAUGCUUCUGAGUAUUUUAGAAGGGGAGUUGGAAGCACGAGAUCUUGUGAUUGAAGCUUUGAGGAUGUGGAUUUUCUGAGCAGAACUGAAGGGGCAUUUUCUUUCCACUCUUCAAGUCCAUCGUUUUUGCAUCUCCUUUUGCAUGAAAUGGAAUAUGUCCCAUAGAUGCUUUUGCAUAAGAAGAUUCUAUUAAGUCCUCGAAAAGAUUACUCUAAUUUAAGUUUUAAGUGACUUAUUAAUUUGCCUCUAAUGCCUUUUCAUAUCCACUGUGACCUCUGAAUUCUCUCCUUCAGUUAUCAUUAUUUCACUUUUCCAUACCUAGGAAAAGUAAAAUAAUGAUACUUAUUUUCGAGUAUUAUUUAUUAGGCAUUAUUUUUUUUAAUUAUUUAUUAUUUUAUAAUAAAUUAUUUAUUAUUUAUUUGGGCAUUAUUUUAGGAUCAAAAUAAACUUCUUCUAAAUUAUAAUC